rnacentral:rRNA from 1 species
CCUACGGGUGGCAGCUGUGGGGAAUAUUGCGCAAUGGGCGAAAGCCUGACGCAGCGACGCCGCGUGAGGGAUGAAGGUCUUCGGAUCGUAAACCUCUGUCAGCAGGGAAGAACGGUCACUGUGCUAAUCAGCAGUGAAUUGACGGUACCUGCAAAGGAAGCACCGGCUAACUCCGUGCCAGCAGCCGCGGUAAUACGGAGGGUGCGAGCGUUAAUCGGAAUUACUGGGCGUAAAGCGCUCGUAGGCGGUAUGUCAAGUCAAGGGUGAAAUCCCCGCGCUCAACGUGGGAACUGCCUUUGAAACUGGCAAACUGGAGUGUGUGAGAGGAGAGUGGAAUUCCAGGUGUAGGAGUGAAAUCCGUAGAUAUCUGGAGGAACAUCAGUGGCGAAGGCGACUAUCUGGAACAUAACUGACGCUGAGGAGCGAAAGCGUGGGUAGCAAACAGGAUUAGAUACCCUAGUAGUC